GUGUGGCUGGCUGAGGAAGGUGCUGGGGUCAAAGUCCUUCUCGGGCCAGCGGCUUUCUAGGACAAUAAAUGUGUCACUUUCCUCCCCUAACCUUCUCCCGUGUGGAAUAAGAACAGAGCUAAAGAUGUGGUUCCUUGACCAAUUAUACUAUAUUUAAAAUGACAUUUUUAAGGGACUUUACUAUUAGGCCUUAGUAAGGAAAAAUCUGAAUUUCAAACUGCGAGGCUAAUGUGUGAGAUCAAGUCACUUGACCAAUUCAGCGUUUACAUCUCAGGGUGGCUUUCUGGAUCUUAAUUUUCCUCAGCAAAUACAAUUUUGUUUUAAGACAGGGUCUUUGUCACCUAGGCUGGAGUGCAGUGACGUGAUCAUGGCCCACCACAUCCAUGACCUCCCGGGCUCAGGAGAUCUCCCACUUCAGACUCCCAAGCAGCUGGGACUACAGGCAACCGCCACCAUGCUUGGUUAAUUUUUUUGUGUGUAUUUUUUGUAGAGACAGGGUUUCACCAUGCUGCCCAGGCUGGUCUCAAUCCCCUGGGCUCAAGCAACCCACCUGCCUCAGCCUCCCAAAGUGCAAGGAUUUCAAGUGUGAGCCACCGCCCCUGGCCAACAAAUACUUAUUCAAAGUCAUCCACCUGCCUGGCACUAUUGUAGAAGCUUGCUUCCCAUCAAUGAGCAAAACACAAAAUUCCUGCCUUGGAGGAGCUUAUAUUCUGUGUCGCCAUUUACCUGUCCCUAACUUGGGGGCCCAGCUCUCCCGAGGGGCUGUGUUACUUGGGUGUCUGUCAGGGGAAAAUGGUAGCAUGGAGAUUGUGGCUGGGUUGUGGCAUCAGACACCUGGGCUCAGACAGAGCCUUUGGUUCUCUCCUUACACAGCCUCCAUCAACUCUGCUCAUGUCUGUUUCCUUGUUAAAGGGGGCAGCAAUGGCACAUUCCUCAUCAGGCUGCGUCGAUGAUUAAAUAAGGUAUUUAAUCCUUGAUGUGGUGCCUGGCACUUAGUAAGUGCCCAUAAAGUGGGUGGCUCGUGGCUGUCACUCCUGGGCCUUGUUCUCACAGCGGCAUUCCUGCUCCUGUGUUUGCCCUCUGUUUGGUUGCCAUGGGUGCUGUGUUUGUGUAGAGCUUCAGCAGGACGUGGUGCUGCGAACAUUCAUCUUGCCUCUGCCUGGUGAUCUGGUGAGCAGGUGCUGCUGUCUGUGGGAGGAAGGGGCCAGCUGCCCAUGGGAUAGCAGCAACUGUGUGGCCUCCCCAGGUUGGUGGCCGGGGGCUGCCUUCCCCAUCAGGGGUGGGACCCACUCAGAGUACUUUUGCUUUUGGAACUCAGCCGGACAUCUGUUUUGGGUGAGAGGAUGCAAGCUCUUCCUUCCCUCCCAGGCUCCCCCCGUUUCAGGCUCUCUGCAGCAGCCCUGACUUGAAUUGGCUGUGUGAUCUGAGGCUGUUCACUUAACCUCUCUGGUUAUCCAUAUCCUCAUCCAUAGAAUGGAGAUAAUCAUUCUCACCACCGAGGGGUGCUGUGAGGAUCGGGCAAGGCCACAAGAAGCAAAAUGCUCUAGAAUGGUGCCAGUAGCCAUAUGAGGAAUCAAAACUAUUUCAAAUUAAAAAUUCAGUUCCCAGUCUCACCAGCCACUUUUCAAGGGCUCCAUAGCCAAUAAGCAUUUGGGUCUUGCUCUGUUACCCAGGCUGGAGUGCAGUGGUGUGAUCAGACUUGAGCUGCAGCCUUCAGCUCCUAGGCUCAAGGAAUCCUCCCACCUCAGUCUCCUGAGUAGCUGGGACUACAGGUAGGCACCACCACAUCUAGCUGAUUAAUUUGUUGUUGUUGUUGUUUUGAGAUGUGGUCUUGAUUGGUUGCCAAUCCUGGUCUUGAACUCCUGGCCUCAAGCAAUCCUCCUGCCUUAGCCUCCCAAAGUGUUGGAUUACAGGUAUGAGCCACUAUGCUUGGUUCCUUUCCUAAUUUUAAAUAAGCUUUUGCAAAAUAUUGUCCCACAUCUUGGCCAUGGCUAUGAGUGCAGGUGGGUAUUACUGGACCCUUUUAGCUCUGGAACUUGUAUUUAGUUGCUGUACUCAUUAGCCAGGUUUUAAAAACUGUACUUUAGGGGCUCCUAGGGAUUAACUGUACUUUAGGGGCUGCAGGAACAAAAACAUGGAGGGGUGAGGGAAGCACAUCUCCUGGAAGUCAUUUGGACAAGAUUCCUUCUCACUUAAGACCACAACUAGAAGCAAGAAGUCAUUUGUGCUUGAAUAUUGACCUGGACUUACCAUCUGGAGUUCCUGUAUUUGUGAAGAUUUCUUCAAAAACUUGAUCCAAAUAUUAUUUCAGAGGAAGCAGUUAAUUUGAAACAUAGUAUAUUAGGUUUAGGAUUAACUCAACUAUUUUGUAUUUAUAUUCCCAGAAACAUUGUAUUCUUUUCCAUUGAAACAUACACACCACACCCACACCCACCCACACACAUAUGUACUUUAUAGAAUACACUGUACCUGUCUAUUGCAGAGAGUUUUAUGGUGCAUCUAGCCAAAACCAAUAAAAUGUGGAUAAAAACGGAGUCUUUGGUAGUUUCUUUCGGCCAUAGAA